rnacentral:rRNA from 1 species
GAUGAACGCUAGCGGCAGGCAUAAUACAUGCAAGUUGAACGGGAUUCAGAUAGCAAUAUUUGAUGAGAGUGGCGCACGGGUGCGUAACACGUAUGCAACUUACCUUAAACUGGGAGAUAGCCCGUGGAAACAUGGAUUAAUAUCCCAUAGUAUAAAGAACAGGCAUUUGUUUUUUAUUAAAGCUCCGGCGGUUUAAGAUGGGCAUGCGCGUCAUUAGCUAGAUGGAGAGGUAACGGCUCACCAUGGCAACGAUGACUAGGGGGUCUGAGAGGAUGUCCCCCCACACUGGUACUGAGACACGGACCAGACUCCUACGGGAGGCAGCAGUAGGGAAUAUUGGGCAAUGGACGCAAGUCUGAACCAGCCAUGCCGCGUGAAGGAUUAAGGUCCUCUGGAUUGUAAACUUCUUUUAUAUGGGACGAAAAAAGGUCUUUCUAGACCCCUUGACGGUACCAUAUGAAUAAGCACCGGCUAACUCCGUGCCAGCAGCCGCCGUAAGAC